UACGUAGGGUGCAAGCGUUGAUCGGAAUUACUGGGCGUAAAGCGUACGCAGGCGGCUUUGCAAGACAGGUGUGAAAUCCCCGGGCCUAACCUGGGAACUGCAUUUGUGACUGCAUGGCUAGAGUUUGUCAGAGGGGGGUGGAAUUCCACGUGUAGCAGUGAAAUGCGUAGAUAUGUGGAGGAACACCAAUGGCGAAGGCAGCCCCCUGGGAUGUGACUGACGCUCAUGUACGAAAGCGUGGGGAGCAAACAGG
rnacentral:rRNA from 1 species